CGCCCCUACGAGGACUGACUGGCUCCAUCACAUAGGAAGGAGGGCAAGAUGGCAGAGGCACCUCAUAAAAGUCCACGUGGCCCAACCCAGGCCGGAGCUGUCCCUAUCGCCCAUCUUGGCUGAUGGCUCCCCACUCAGACACCUUUUCCUCGCUUGAGCACCUUCCUUCCUUUUCCCCUUCUGAGCAAUAAAGCAGCUGUUCACUUAUGUCUCUGCCCCUGCUGUGCAAAUUCUUUCACAGCGGGUUGCAAGAAC